rnacentral:lncRNA from 10 species
AGCCUGAACUUUCUCAUCCAACACCCGUUCAAGUCGGAGGAUGCUGAUUAAUUCAUGAUGGAAAGGUAUCAAUUUCACAGCCCAGACCUCUACAUUCUUGAAAUGCUCUUCUCAUGGGAGACAUUAAAUAAGCUUUGAAUUAACUGAGACCUCUGUGGAUUCUAUAACUCAAAGACCCAGGCUGACGGCUGGUGGAAUAGCUACCAUCUCAAACAUGGCGUGAUGCUGCAUCAGAGAGAAAAAUAAGCUCUUGCAUUGACAAUGAAAUGUCUACCCUGUAGUGACUUGUGCUUACUUCCACUCACAAGUGAUUGCCCAGAGCUACUUACCUGGCUCCAAUCUACCACUGGUGUUGGAGGUGGGUCCUGGUGUGAGGUGAUUGGAUUAUGGGGGUGAAUUUCUCAGGAAUGGUUUAACAUCAUCCCCUACGGCCCUGUCCUUGCAUAGUGAGUGCCAUGACACCCAGGAUGCAGCUGUAGGAACACCACUGGGUCCCUGGAUGUCAUGUAAGCCCUUAAGUAAAAGUGCCAUCAAAUGAUUUCUCAGAAAUUAUAAAGAAACAAAAGGACCAUAAACAAGAUAAGGUGGCAUGAGGAAACAUUACAAGUACCUUUCAGAGCUGACUGGCAAAGAAACUCCUGAGGUGACGGUUCUACCCCAAUAUUACUUCUUCGAAGAGCAACCUAACUGACCUUGUAUUGAAGACAGCGUAACCCCCAAGAGGAAAGGAGCUUGGAGCCCUGAAUCAGAGUAGAAGAC